CAUCAACUCCCGUCUCCAAAAAUCCAAGGCUCUUGGAGAAGUUAACCUCUCCAAGAACAUCGAAUGCAAAGAAUUGCAUCCAUGGUCCAAUAUCGAGGGCUAUUUUGCCAUCAUUUGAGCGUUCCUCAACCCUUUUCAAAAACAACUCAAUACAGCCGUUUACGUAUGGUUCUAAUUCUGAGAGUGCAGUCAUUGAGAAACCCUUGGCUGAAGCUCGUUUCAGCCGCGCAUGGUAUUCGUUACUCCGCGUCGUGAAAAGGGUGGGCAAUUUCUUGCCUUCAUAAAGGCCCUCUCCGAUGGAAUAGAACUCAGACUAUUGGACCUGUUACCUAUGAUCUAUGAAAAUAAGAUCGAGAAUGCCGCCUGAGUGUUCAGGGGAACUUAUAUGGGAAGCAAGACACUGCGACCUUACUUUGGGAAAGAUAUUGGGCCAUACUUUUCGUGAACCUCGAUGUUCCGCCAUGCCAUAUCCUUCUUCAAAACCCUAUAAAUCUUCCAUAGGUUUGAGAAGCUGGCGACAAAUGGACCGGGAACAUUCCGGAGGCCUGGACUAUAUCUGGUCCAUAUACAACUGACGAAGAAGAAAAACGCCACGAGAAUAGAGUAGGUGUGGAGAUUAUCGAACUGGAGGUUGAGUGCAAAAGCACUGAUACCGGAGGCCAUGAUGGGUCAAAUCGCAGUUUGGACUGAUAGUGGAAAAACAAUCAUGGAUUGAUAUUCUAUGUCGAGUGGUGUUUUGUUCACCCUCAAGAGCAUAUCGACAAGACAGAUCUGAAGUUGGACGGUGUAGAGAGCUAUUUUAUUUGGUGUUCUAUUUCCAUGGC
rnacentral:sRNA from 1 species